CGGUGGAGCAUGUGGUUUAAUUCGAUGCAACGCGAAGAACCUUACCUGGUCUUGACAUCCACAGAACUUUCCAGAGAUGGAUUGGUGCCUUCGGGAACUGUGAGACAGGUGCUGCAUGGCUGUCGUCAGCUCGUGUUGUGAAAUGUUGGGUUAAGUCCCGCAACGAGCGCAACCCUUAUCCUUUGUUGCCAGCGGUUCGGCCGGGAACUCAAAGGAGACUGCCAGUGAUAAACUGGAGGAAGGUGGGGAUGACGUCAAGUCAUCAUGGCCCUUACGACCAGGGCUACACACGUGCUACAAUGGCAUAUACAAAGAGAAGCGACCUCGCGAGAGCAAGCGGACCUCAUAAAGUAUGUCGUAGUCCGGAUUGGAGUCUGCAACUCGACUCCAUGAAGUCGGAAUCGCUAGUAAUCGUAGAUCAGAAUGCUACGGUGAAUACGUUCCCGGGCCUUGUACACACCGCCCGUCACACCAUGGGAGUGGGUUGCAAAAGAAGUAGGUAGCUUAACCUU
rnacentral:rRNA from 1 species